rnacentral:miRNA from 19 species
UGCCCUAUGGAUUCAGUUCUGCA